ACCAUCUGUAUCCUUUCAUCUCCCUCGCUGGUGAAGAGAAGAGUUCGGAAUUUCUCCAGCUGUAAAUUCAUAUGAAAUAACUUUACUACUUGCAAAGGCAAUUGGUGUUAAUGUCAUUGAAAAAAGCUAAGAAGGUGAAGAAAUAUAAGCUAUGAGAUCUUAAUUCUAAGACAGCAUCAAGCUCACCUGUCUUGUCAUCAGCAUCUUCAAAGUCCACCAUGACUGAGUGGCCAUUGUUGGAGAUUUCAAGAGAUGUACACGAUUCAUAUGAGAUAAUAAGAGGCUUCAGACUAGGAUCAUAAACUGCUUGCCUGGAGACUAUAUCAACAGGUGACUGACGAUGUCCCUGGGCAAUGGGAUAUGAUUUGUACCACUCAGAAGGCCCUUUGAGACAAAGGAAAGGAAAAUACCGUUACUUCACUUUUGCCACAGAGAGAAAAGAAUCAUUAGAAGUUUUUAUGAGCCUCGGAGUGAUGCCACGUUCAUUGGAAAUCACAAAUUUGAUAUGGAAAACUGGAGUGAGAGUUCUGAAGAAACAUGAAUAACAUAAAUGUCAGAGUCCAGAAAUGAGUUUGCAAAGUUAGAAUUACAACCUUCAAGAGCUCAGUCUCACAAGGUUCUGCACACAGAAAAUGCCAUCAACUUCAGUGGGAGAUCCUCUACUCCAAGGAC